GAUGAACGCUGGCGGCGUGCCUAAUACAUGCAAGUCGAGCGAACAGACGAGGAGCUUGCUCCUUCGACGUUAGCGGCGGACGGGUGAGUAACACGUAGGUAACCUACCUAUAAGACUGGGAUAACUUCGGGAAACCGGAGCUAAUACCGGAUAAUAUUUCGAACCGCAUGGUUCGAUAGUGAAAGAUGGCUUUGCUAUCACUUAUAGAUGGACCUGCGCCGUAUUAGCUAGUUGGUAAGGUAACGGCUUACCAAGGCAACGAUACGUAGCCGACCUGAGAGGGUGAUCGGCCACACUGGAACUGAGACACGGUCCAGACUCCUACGGGAGGCAGCAGUAGGGAAUCUUCCGCAAAGGGCGAAAGCCUGACGGAGCAACGCCGCGUGAGUGAUGAAGGUCUUCGGAUCGUAAAACUCUGUUAUUGGGGAAGAACAAACGUGUAAGUAACUGUGCACGUCUUGACGGUACCUAAUCAGAAAGCCACGGCUAACUACGUG
rnacentral:rRNA from 1 species